AUUACCCAGGGAUCUUGUUAAAAUGCAGAUCCUGAUUCUUCUGAUUCCAUAGGGCUGGGGCAGGGCUGGGGAAUCUGCAUUUCUAACAAGUUCCCAGGUGACGCUCC
rnacentral:pre_miRNA from 1 species